GACGAACGCUGGCGGCGUGCCUAACACAUGCAAGUCGAGCGAACAGACGAGGAGCUUUCUCCUCUGACGUUAGCGGCGGACGGGUGAUUAAUACGUGGAUAACCUACCUAUAAGACUGUGAUAAUAACGGCAAACCGGAGCUACUACCGCAUAAUAUGUUGAAUCUCAUGCGUCAAGAGUCUAAGACGGUCUUUGUGUCAGUUAUAGAUGGAUCCGCGCCGGAUUAGCUAGUUGGUAGGGUAACGGCUUACCAAGGCGGUGAUGCGUAGCCGACCUGAGAGGGGGGUCGACCAGCAGAGAGGUGAGGAGAGGCCGAGACGCCUACGAGGGGACGCAGUAGGGAAUCAUACGGGAUGGGGGAAGGCAGGACGGUGCAACGCCGCGGGAGGAAAGAAGGAGUUCGGAUGGUUGAACUCUGUUGUUAGGAGGGAAGAAAUGUGUAAGCAACUGUGCACGUAUUGACGGUACCUGGAGAAGAAGCCCCGGCUAACUACGUG
rnacentral:rRNA from 1 species